AGCGAACGCUGCGGCAUGCUUAACACAUGCAAGUCGCACGGGCAGUAGCAAUACUGUCAGUGGCGGACGGGUGAGUAACGCGUAGGAAUCUAUCCUUGAAUGGGGGACAACCGUGGGAAACUACGGCUAAUACCGCAUGAUCCCUGAGGGGCAAAGGCGAAAGUCGCCUGAGGAGGAGCCUGCGUCUGAUUAGGUAGUUGGUGGGGUAAAGGCCUACCAAGCCUGCGAUCAGUAGCUGGUCUGAGAGGAUGAUCAGCCACACUGGGACUGAGACACGGCCCAGACUCCUACGGGAGGCAGCAGUGGGGAAUAUUGGACAAUGGGCGCAAGCCUGAUCCAGCAAUGCCGCGUGGGUGAAGAAGGUCUUCGGAUUGUAAAGCCCUUUUGGCAGGGACGAUGAUGACGGUACCUGCAGAAUAAGCUCCGGCUAACUUCGUG
rnacentral:rRNA from 1 species